UGGGGAAUAUUGGACAAUGGGCGCAAGCCUGAUCCAGCCAUGCCGCGUGAGUGAUGAAGGCCCUAGGGUUGUAAAGCUCUUUCACCGGUGAAGAUAAUGACGGUAACCGGAGAAGAAGCCCCGGCUAACUUCGUGCCAGCAGCCGCGGUAAUACGAAGGGGGCUAGCGUUGUUCGGAUUUACUGGGCGUAAAGCGCACGUAGGCGGACUAUUAAGUCAGGGGUGAAAUCCCGGGGCUCAACCCCGGAACUGCCUUUGAUACUGGUAGUCUUGAGUUCGAGAGAGGUGAGUGGAAUUCCGAGUGUAGAGGUGAAAUACGUAGAUAUUCGGAGGAACACCAGUGGCGAAGGCGGCUCACUGGCUCGAUACUGACGCUGAGGUGCGAAAGCGUGGGGAGCAUACAGG
rnacentral:rRNA from 1 species